rnacentral:lncRNA from 1 species
CCGGGAUUGGGCUUUAUAUAGACCAAUCCUCUGUCCAGAAGUGGGGGGGGGGGCAUGGUCCCUCCCUAACACGGGAUUGGGCCAAUUUAAGGGCAAUCCCCCACCAGGAAAUAGGGAGCAUGGUCCCUCCCCAGCACAAGAUUGGUCCAUUUGAGACCAAUCCCACACCAGGAAGUAGGAAGGUGGGACCCCAGGGGCAUGCUGGGGGCUGCAUUCCCCCCACCCCCAGAAUAUUUUAAAACCCACAAGGUCAGCAGGUGAGGUCUAUGACACCAGCGUGGGGACCAGCCCAGAGUGAACAAGGUGACAGUACCAGCUGAGGCUACUGGAGGUGACUACGACAGCAAAGGCAGAAGCUUUGGGAGCCCUCAGCCCAGAGAUGAACAUUACAAAAAUCAUUCUUUUACUUGAAUUUCUGGAAUUUGCUGACUACAUUUCUGGUUCUUCCUCUGGAAUAGCAUCCAAAUUUAUAAAGGAGAAACUAGUGGAGCUCAAGGAUGAAAUAGAUAGUAAAACUAUACUAGUGGGAGAACUGAACUUUCCUCUAUCAAAUAUAGAUAAGUCAAACCAAAAAAUAAAUAAGAAAGAGAUCGUAAUGAAAAUAACUUUCUUAAAAGCAAUGACAAAACGACAUCCAUAGAAGAAAAGGAGACAUUCCUUUUUUCUAGUAUAAAUCAUUCUUAUAAAGGCACUGGAACAACAGAGAAUGGAGACCUGAUCUUUGAAUGUGUACAUGUACAAUGUAAAAAUAAAAAUAAUAAAAUGAUAAGAGCUAUUGUUUU